AUUGAACGCUGGCGGCAGGCUUAACACAUGCAAGUCGAGCGGAGAUGAGGUGCUUGCACCUUAUCUUAGCGGCGGACGGGUGAGUAAUGCUUAGGAAUCUGCCUAUUAGUGGGGGACAACAUUCCGAAAGGAAUGCUAAUACCGCAUACGUCCUACGGGAGAAAGCAGGGGAUCUUCGGACCUUGCGCUAAUAGAUGAGCCUAAGUCGGAUUAGCUAGUUGGUGGGGUAAAGGCCUACCAAGGCGACGAUCUGUAGCGGGUCUGAGAGGAUGAUCCGCCAAAAUGGGACUGAGACACGGCCCAGACUCCUACGGGAGGCAGCAGUGGGGAAUAUUGGACAAUGGGGGGAACCCUGAUCCAGCCAUGCCGCGUGUGUGAAGAAGGCCUUAUGGUUGUAAAGCACUUUAAGCGAGGAGGAGGCUACUGAGACUAAUACUCUUGGAUAGUGGACGUUACUCGCAGAAUAAGCACCGGCUAACUCUGUGCCAGCAGCCGCCGUAACAC
rnacentral:rRNA from 1 species